rnacentral:rRNA from 1 species
CCUACGGGUGGCUGCAGUGGGGAAUAUUGCACAAUGGGGGAAACCCUGAUGCAGCGACGCCGCGUGAGUGAAGAAGUAUCCCGGUAUGUAAAACUCUAUCAGCAGGGAAGAAAAAGACGGUACCUGACUAAGAAGCCCCGGGUAACUACGGGCCAGCAGCCGCGGUAAUACGUAGGGGGCAAGCGUUAUCCGGAUUUACUGGGUGUAAAGGGAGCGUAGACGGCGCUGCAAGUCCGGAGUGAAAGCCCAUGGCUUAACCAUGGUAGUGCUGUGGAAACUGUGGAGCUUGAGUGCGGGAGGGGCAUGCGGAAUGCGUAGUGUAGCGGUGAAAUGCGUAGAUAUUAGGAGGAACACCGGCGGCGAAGGCGGCAUGCUGGACCGUAACUGACGUUGAGGCACGAAAGCGUGGGGAGCAAACAGGAUUAGAUACCCGGGUAGUC